rnacentral:lncRNA from 1 species
AGUGCCCGCAGCGGGUCCGGCAGCCCUGGCCUUAUCCGGGCGUCGGGGCUUCGGCGGGCAUUAGCAGCAGCUGAGAGGCCUGUGAGAGGUUCUGGGGCGCCACCGCAGUCAUUCUGUUCAGCGGGUAUAGGGUUCUUGGAUAAACAAGCUCUGACGAUCAUUCCCAAACAAGAGUUCAAAAAUGUUUUCCGCAAUAGCAAUGAUAUGGACGGAAAGGAUGCCCUCCUGCACUGAUGCCUCUGGAGGACCACACUUUCCAUUCAGAGACACGCUCAGCACUCAACUCAUGCUGCACACCCGGCCGACCCCAGUACCGACACUCACAGAAUGCAGGUUGGAGAGAGAUGCCGACUUCCGAGGAGGUGUCUUCUUCGGACUGAACGUAUUCCCAAAGAAAGGCAUCUUUGGCCUGAUGAAAGCAAAGCCAGUGCUCCCUUCUCCUAGGGUCAGAAAAAGUCAGGGGUACAAGCAGCUGGAUCACUGACCUUAUGCCAUUGUCUUCAAAUCUUGAAGACAUACAUUUUAUCAUGUGGCUACUAACGAUCCUGGUGCUAUGGUUUGAAUGUCCCCACCAAAACUCAUGUUGAAAUUGAAUUGCCAUUGUUUAACAGUAUAAGGGGUGACUGGGCCAUGUGAGCUCUGCUCUCAUGAAUGGAUUAAUGCCAUUGUCAUGGAGUAGGUUAGUUUUCUCUGGCGUGGGCUCCUGGCAAAAGGAUGAGUUCUGCUGCCAUGCUGUCUGUCUCAUGCACUUGCUCACCAUGUGAGCCUUCUGCCUCACACAGGAUGACCCUCACCAGAUACUUGCACCAUGCUCUUGGACUUCCCAGUCUCCAGAACUGUGAGCCAAAUAAACUUCUUUUCUUUAUAAAUUACCCAGUCUGUGGUAAUCUGUAACAGCAGCACAAAAUGGAUUAAGACGCCUGGUAAUAGCUCCCAUGUGCUGAACGCUCCCUUUGUGCUACGCGGUAUGCUAAGAUUUUUUGGGUGGCACACAGUGGCGCAUGCCUGUAGUCCCAAUUACUUGGGAAGCUGAGGCUGGGGGGUCGCUGGAGCCCAGGGAGGUUGAGGCUGCAGUGAGCUGUGGUCCACUGCUGCUCUCCAGUCUAGGCUACAGAAUGAGAGACCAUGUCUCAAAAAAAAAAAGUUAGCCUGGCAUGGUGGCACACAACUACAGUCUCAGUGACUCAGGAGGCUGAGGUAGGCAGAUCACUUGAGCCCAGGAGUUUAAGACCAGCCUGGCCAACAUGGCAAAACUCUGUCUCUACAAAAAAUACAAAAAUUAGCCAGGUAUGGUGGUGCGUGCCUGUAGUCUCAGCUAUUCAGUAGGCUUAGGUGGGAGGAUCACUUGAACCUAUGAGUCUGAGCCUCCAGUGAGCUAUGAUCAUGCCACUGCACUCCAGCCUGAGUCAAAGAGCAUUACCCUGUCUCUAAAAAAAAAAAAAUAAAGAAAGAAAUGGCUGGGCACGGUGGCUCAUAUCUGUAAUCCCAGCACUUUGGGAGGCCGAGGCGGGCAAAUCAAGAGGUCAGGAGUUUGAGACCAGCCUGGCCAACGUGGUGAAACCCUGUCUCUACUAAAAAUACAAAAAAUUAGCUGGGCAUAGUGGCGGGUGCCUGUAAUCCCAGCUAGUUGGGAGGCUGAGGCAGGAAAAUUGCUUGAACCCAGGAGGCAGAGGUUGCAGUGAGCCGAGAUUGCGCCACUGCACUCCAGCCUGGGUGACAGAGCAAGACUCUGUCUCAAAAAUAAAUUAAAAAAAUAAAUAAAUAAAUGAGUAAAGCUAUGCUUAUAUUUCCUUUCCAGAUUGAUAACAGUGCUCCUCACUUGUCACCAGUGUCACUUGUCAACAGUGCACCUCAUAUGUCACGUUACCUGUUCUGUUAUGGAAGGUGACGUGAGGUGUCCUGAAAAGGGGGCAGGUCCACGACAUGGCGGAGCUGACAACAACACCCCCCCAACCUGUACAUUUGCUUUUAGCAUAAUGCAACCUAUUGCAAUUCACCUAGGCCUAGUUAAGUAGAUUUCCUGAUAACACCCUGGUUUUUGGGGAGAAAAGGAGGGGAGAAGCAAACUUUUUAUUUAGGCUGGGAGCAGUGGCUCACACCUGUAAUCCUAGCACUUUGGGAGGCCAGGGAGGGAGGAUUACUUGAGCACAGGAGUUCAAGACCAGCCUGGGCAACUUAGCAGGGCCCGUCUCUACCAAAAAAAGGUUAAAAAAGAAAAAAAAAUAUAUAUAUAUAUAACAUUAAUACAGAAAAGUCUACCACAAAUCAUAAGUGUAAGGUUUCAUGAGUUUUUACUACACAAGUAUAACCACCCUCCAGGGCCAGGCGUGGUGGUUUAUACCUGAAAUCCCAGCACUUUGGGAGGCCAAGGUGAGAGGAUUGCUUGAGCCCAAGAGUUCAAGACCAGCCUGAGUGACACAGCGAGACCCCCAUCUCUAAAAAAAUUAAAAUCAAGUAUUUUUUAAAUUUUAUUUUUUAUUUAUGAUUUUUUUUUUUGAGACAGAGCCCUGCUCUGUGCCUCAGCCUUGUAAAUAGCUGGGAUUACAGGUGUGUGCCACCAUGCCCAGCUAAUUUUUGUAUUUUUAGUAGAGACAGGGUUUUACCAUGUUGGCCAGGCUGGUCUCGAACUCCUGACCUCAAGUGACCUGCCCACCUUGGCCUCCCAAAGUGCUGGAAUUACAGGUGUGAACCAACGCACUGGCUCAAAACAUUUUUUUAAAACCACCCUCCAGAUUGGGAUACAGAGCAUUUCAGCACUCCAUAAGCCUCACCUGGCCACUGUACAUGCACAGAAUUGCACAGUGAGUCCUCGUUUGCAUCUGGCUUCUCACACUCAACGUCAUGUUUCUGACAUUUAUCCAUGCAGCUGUGUGUAGUUAUAGUUUGUUCAUUUGCAUUGCUGGAUAAUAUUCUAUUGUAUAAACACAGCAAAAUUUACUUGUCUACAGAAGAUGGACAUUUGAGCUGUUUGCAGUUUUGUUUUGUGUUUCUUGAGACAGGGUCUCGUUCUGGUCCCCCAGGUUGGAGUGCAGUGGUACCAUCUCUGUUCACUGUAGCCUCAACCUCCCAGGCUCAGGUGAUCCUCCCAUCUCAGCCUCAUGGGUAGCUGGGACUAUAGGCACGCACCACCAUGCUGGCUAAUUUUCUGCAUUUUUAAUAGAGAUGGGAGUUUCGUCAUGUUGCCUAGUCUGGUCUUGAACUCUUGGGCUCACGUGAUCUGCCUGCCUCAGCCUCCCAAAAUGCUGGAAUUACAGGUAUGAACCACCACACCCGGCCUGUUUCCAGUUUUUGACCACCAAAAAUAGUGCUGCUAGGCCAGGCAUGGUGGCUUAUGCCAGUAAUCCUAGCACUUUGGGAGGCCAAGACAGGAGGAUCACUUGAUGCCAGGAGUUCAAGACCAGCCUAGGCAACAUAAUGAGACCUCAUCUCUACAAAAAAUUGAAAAAUCAGCCAGGCGUGGUGGUGUACCCUUGUAGUCCUAGCUACUCAGGAGGCUGAGGUGGAAGGAUUGCUUCAGCCCAGGAGUUUGAGGCUGCAGUGAGCUGUGAUCACCACUGCACACUUCAGUCUGGGCAACAGAGCAAGACCCUGUCUCAAGAAAAAAAAAAACUACUGCUAAGAACAUAAGACUUGAGCAUGUAUAUCUACAUGCAUAUGUACACUUUUCUGGUUCCAUACUUAGGGGUAUAACUAUAGAGUCACAGAGCAUUCAUAUAUUUAGCUUUAACAGAUUCUGCCAAAUGGUUUUCCAAAGUCAUUGUACCAAUUUAGACUCCUAUCUGUAGUUUGCAAGAGAUCCUUGUCAAUAUCUGGCACUUUCUUUUUCAUCUUUUCCAUUCUGGCAGGUAUGUAAUGGUGUUGCAUUGUUUAAUUUGCUUUUCCCAAAUAACUAAUUAAGUUGAGCAUCAUUUAACAUACUCCUUGGACAUAUAUGGAUUUUUUUGUGGCAUGCUUAUUCAUGUAUUUUGCUUUUUUUUUUUUUUUUUGAGAUGGAGUCUCCCUCUGUCAUCGGGCUGGAGUGCAGUGGCACAAUCUCAGCUCACUGCAACCUCUGCCUCCCAGGUUCAAGUGAUUCUCCUGCCUCAGCCUCCCGAGUAACUGGGAUUACAGGAACACACCACCAUGCCCAGCUAAUUUUUGUAUUUUUAAUAGAGACAGGGUUUCGCUAUGCUGGCCAGGCUUGUCUCGAACUCCUGACCUCAAGCAAUCUGCCCGCCACAGCCUCCCAAAGUGCUAGGAUUAUAGGCAUGAGCCACCGCGCCCAGCCCUCUUUUGCCAUUUUUUAAAAUUGAGCUGUCUAUCAUGUUCAUUUUGUAAGGGUUUGUAAGGGUAUUUAUAUACGCUGGAUACAAGUUUCACUACUGUAUAUAUGUACAGUACUGAAAAUAUCUUCUCCCACUUUUUUCUUUUUGCUUUCUCCUUCUUUUUUUUUUUUGAAACACAGUCUCGCUCUGUCACCCAGGCUGGAGUGCAGUGGUGCUAUCUUGGCUCACUGCAACCUCUGCCUCCCAGGUUCAAGAGAUUCUCCUGUCUCAACCUCCCAAGUAGCUGGGAUUACACACACCUGCCACUAAACCCAGCUAAUUUUUGUGUUUUUAGUAGAGAUGGGGUUUUGCCAUGUUGGCCAGGCUGGUCUCGAACUCCUGACCUCAAGUGAUCCACCCACCUCCGCCUCCUAAAGUGCUGGAAUUACAGUCAUGAGCCACUGCGCCCGACCUCUUUUUGCUUUCUUUUUUUUUCCUUUUUUUUUUUUUUUUUUGGAGACAGAGUUUCGCUCUUGUGGCCCAGGCUGAAGUGCAAUGGCGCCAUCUCAGCACACCGCAACCUCCACCUCCCGGGUUCAAGUGAUUCUCCUGCCUCAGCUUCCCAAGUAGCUGAGAUUACAGGCAUGCGCCACCACGCCCGGCUAAUUUUUGUAUUUUUAGUAGAGACAGGGUUUCUCUAUGUUGGUCAGGCUGGUCUCGAACUCCCAACCUCAGGUGAUCCACCCACCUCAGCCUCCCAAAGUGCUGGGAUUACAGGUGUGGGCCACCGCGUCCGGCCUCUUUUUGCUUUCUUAAUGCAACCUCCGCCUCCCGGGUUCAAGCGAUUCUCCUGCUUCAGCCUCCCAGGUAGCUAGGACUAUAGGCACGCACCACCACAUCCAGCUAAUUUGUGUAUUUUUAGUAGAGACGGGGUUUCACCAUGUUGGCCAGGAUGGUCUCAAUCUCUUGACCUCGUGAUCCACCUGCCUCGGCCUCCCAAAGUGCUGAGAUUACAGGUGUGAGCCACAGCUCCCAGCCAGAAGUUCUUAAUUAUAAUGAAAUCCAAUUAUUUAUUUAUUUAUUUAUUUAUUUUGAGAUCAAGUCUUACUCUGUCGCCCAGGCUGGAGGGCAGUGAUGUGAUCUCAGCUGACUGCAACCUCUGCUUCCUGGGUUCAAGCAAUUCUCCUGCCUCAGCCUCCUGAGUAGCUGGGAUUACAGGCGCCUGCCACCACACCCAACUAAUGUUUGUACUUUUAGCAGAGAUGGUGUUUCGCCAUGUUGGCCAGGCUGGUCUUGAAUUCCUGACCUCCCAAAGUGCUGGGAUUACAGGCAUAAGCCACUGCACCCAGCCCAAUUUAUUAUUAUUUCUUAAUGAUUAGUGCUUGUAUUGUAUUUUUAAAAUGUUUGCCUACCCCAGGCUGGGUAUGGUGCCUCAUGCCUAUAAAUCCUAGCACUUUGGGAGGCAGAGGCAGGCAAAUAACUUGAGUCCAGGAGUUCAAGACCAUCCUGGGCAACAUGGCAAACAAAACCCUGUCUCUACCAAAGAUACAAAAAAUUAGCUGGGCAUGGUGGUGUACGCCUGUGGUCCCAGCUAUUCAGGAGGCAGAGGUGGGAGGAUUGCUUGCGCCCAGGAGCCAGAGGUUGCAGUGAGCUGAGAUUAUGACACUGCACUCCAGCUUGGGUGACAGAGUGAGAUCCUGUCCCCCGCCCCCCAAAAAAAAUUGCCUACCCCAAGGUCAUGAUGAUAUUUUCUGUUAACUUCUGGUAAUAUUAUUGUUUGCAUUUCACAUUUGUGACUAUAAUUCAUCUUGAAUUAAUAUUUGUAUAUGAUGUAAAACAGGGGUUAGUGUUCUUUUUUUCCCCAUAUAUCACCCAAUUUUUUAUUUUAUUUAUUUAUUUAUUUUUUUUUUUGAGACAGAGUCUCAUUCUGUUGCCCAGGCUAGAGUGCAGUGGCGUGAUCUCGGCUCACUGCAGCCUCAACCUCCCAGGUUCAAGCGAUUCUCCCACCUCAGCUUCCCAAGUAGCUGAGAUCACAGGCACGCGCCACUAGGCCCAGCUAAUUUUUGUGUCUUUUGUAGAGACGGGGUUUCGCCAUGUUGCCCAGGCUGGUCACGAACUCCUGAGCUCAAGCGACUGGCCCAACUUGGCCUCUCAAAGUGCUGGGAUUACAGGCCUGAGCCACCACGCCUGGCCUAUAUUAUUCAAUUUUAAUUUAUAUCACGCACACAGCUUACAAAGAAUCCUUCUAAGAAGCCAUAGACUGAAGAGAACAACAAUGACGGCACAAGUGAGCAAAAAGAAAACAGCCGACCUCUCACUGCUCCUCCUGGGCGUAAGGUCUUCCUUCACUACAUUAUGAAAUAAAAGCAGUAACGGGUUAACUGGAUCUGACAAGAAAUGGGCCAAAAAAGGCAGGAGGAGGGGUUGGUAUCUUUUCAAGACUAUUUGAAACAAGGUUUUAUAUCCAUUAUCAUUAAAAGAGAAUUCAAAGUAUGAAUCCAUCACAAUCAGCAAGAUAUGUAUCCAAUGAGAACAGGAAAAAAAACUUCCAGGCUGUUUUCAUUAAGGGAGAAAUUGAUCUCACUAAAAUUAAUGAUAAAAGUUAAGAAGCUUCUUUGGAAUGUAUGUAAAACAUACAAUACAUAAGUAUAUGUAUAUGUAAUUUAUAAAUAAAUGAAGGUAUUUGGGGUUAUGUGCUCAUGACAGCUUUCCUGGUAGUUACGUGUUUGAAUUAAAAACAAUCAUACAGUGGCUCACGCCUGUAAUCCCAGCACUUUGGGAGGCCAAGGCAGGUGGAUCACCUGAGGUCAGAAGUUCGAGACCAGUCUGGCCAACAUGGUGAAACCCUGUCUCUACUAAAAAUGUACAAAAAUUAGCCGGGAGUGGUGGUGCUCACCUGUAAUCCCAACUGCCUGGGAGGCUGAGGCACAAGAAACGCUUGAACCUGGGAGGCGGAGGUUGCGGUGAGCCGAGAACACACCACUGCGCUCCAGCCUGGGUGACAGAACGAGACUCUGUCUCAAAAAUAAAAUAAACUAAAAUAAAAUCAUAAAAAUAAAAAGAAUCAUAGACCAGCAACUUAGGGGAUGGCAUUUGGGCCUGGGCACAGCACUUUAGAACUUGGACAAACCAGAGUGCUUCCAGCUUGGUAGUGGAGGGGACGGGGUGGGGACCAAGAUGCAGAGGGGGGUUGAUGCUAUGUCACCAUCCAAAACACAUUGUAAGGCCCUGGCACUGUUUCUGCUGGAGAAGAGAAAGAGGUUAGAAGAGGGAAAAGCAUUAAUCUUAUGUCUGUAAUCUUAUGUAAAGGACAGAACAAAAAUAAAAUAGGAAUAUCCAUGAAUAAAGUUCUGGAGACUGAGGCAGGAGAAUCGCUUGAACCCAGGAGGUGGAGGCUGCGGUGAGGGAGAUCGUGUCAUUGCGCUCCAGCCUGGGCAACAAGAGUGAAACUCCGUCUCAAAAAUAAAUAAAUAAAUAAAGAUGAAAAUGCUAGGGUUUGGGGUAGUUUCCCAAUUUUCCCAAGGUGCAUAGCCAUGAUCAGUUGGCUGAAGGUGUAUAUGCGUCUGCGUGUGUGUGUGUGUGUGUGUGUAUGUACCUGUACACACACAUAUAUGGUAUACGUGUAUAUACAUAUGGUGUGUGUGUGUCUAUAUACACAUGUAUAUACUUAUCCUUGUAUUAGUAACAUGUGAGGCACAUCAUUAAAAGAUGCAUUUUCGGCCUGGUGUGGUGGCUCAUGCCUGUAAUCCCAGCACUUUGGGAGGCCGAGGCAGGUGGAUCACUUGAGGUCAGGAGUUCAGGACCAGCCUGGCCAACACAGUGAAACCCCGUCUCUACUAAAAACACAAAAAUUAGCCAGGCGCGGUGGCAUGAGC